GUUGAUCCUGGCUUCAGAAUGAACGCUGGCGGCGUGCUUAACACAUGCAAGUCGAACGGUAACAGGAGGAAGCUUGCUUCUUUGCUGACGAGUGGCGCACGGGUUAGUAAUAUAUAGGUAAUGUGCCCCUUGGAGGGGGAUAGCCACUGGAAACGGUGAUUAAUACCCCAUACUCCUUUCUAACAUAAGUUAGAUUGGGAAAUGGAUUCCGCCAAGGGAUCGGCCUAUAUCCUAUCAGCUAGUUGGUGAGGUAAGAGCUCACCAAGGCGAUGACGGGUAGCGGGUUUGAGAGGAUGAUCCGCCACACUGGUACUGAGACACGGACCAGACUCCUACGGGAGGCAGCAGUGAGGAAUAUUGCACAAUGGGGGCAACCCUGAUGCAGCAACGCCGCGUGGAGGAUGACGCAUUUCGGUGUGUAAACUCCUUUUAUAUGUCAAGAAAAUGACGGUAGCAUAUGAAUAAGCACCGGCUAACUCCGUGCCAGCAGCCGCGGUAAUACGGAGGGUGCAAGCGUUAUCCGGAUUUAUUGGGUUUAAAGGGUCCGUAGGCGGGCCAAUAAGUCAGUGGUGAAAUCCUAUCGCUUAACGAUAGAACUGCCAUUGAAACUGUUAGUCUUGAAUUAUUUUGAAGUUGGCGGAAUGAGUAGUGUAGCGGCGAAAUGCAUAGAUAUUACUCAGAACACCGAUUGCGAAGGCAGCUGACUAAGAAUAUAUUGACGCUGAUGGACGAAAGCGUAGGUGGCGAACAGGAUUAGAUACCCUGGUAGUCUACGCAGUAAACGAUGGAUACUAGUUGUCGGGGAAAUUGAGACUCGGUGGCUAAGCGAAAGUGGUAAGUAUCCCACCUGGGGAGUACGAUCGCAAGAUUGAAACUCAAAGGAAUUGACGGGGGCCCGCACAAGCGGUGGAGCAUGUGG
rnacentral:rRNA from 1 species